GAUGAACGCUGGCGGCGUGCCUAAUACAUGCAAGUCGAGCGAACAGACGCGGAGCUUGCACUUGUGACGUUAGCGGCGAACGGGUGAGUAACACGUGGAUAACCUACCUAUAAGACUGGGAUAACUUUCGGAAACGGGAGCUAAUACCGGAUAAUAUAUUGAACCGCAUGGUUCAAUGGUGAAAGACGGCUCUGCCGUCUCCUAUAGAUGGGACCGCGGUGCAUUAGCUAGUUGGUGAGGUAACGGCUUACCAAGGCCACGAUGCGUAGCCGACCUGAGAGGGUGAUCGGCCACACUGGAACUGAGACACGGUCCAGACUCCUACGGGAGGCAGCAGUAGGGAAUCUUCCGCAAUGGACGAAAGCCUGACGGAGCAACGCCGCGUGAGUGAAGAAGGUCUUCGGAUCGUAAAACUCUGUUGUUAGAGAAGAAUAAGUGCUAGAGUAACUAUGAGCGUCUUGACGGUACCUAACCAGAAAGCCACGGCUAACUACGUG
rnacentral:rRNA from 1 species